ACGUCUCCCUUCUGCCCGCUACCCUCACACACACACAUACACAUACACACUCUCUCUCUCUCUGCGAGACCCAAUACCCAUUUGUGCCUCCCCAGCUAUAGCCACCCUCGUUAGCUCUUUGCACCCACCAACCCUGCGACCCUGCAACCCAUUGGUGCAAUUUUCAUGGGUCUGUUCUGUUCGAGAGAGAGAGAGAUAGAGGGGUUUGAGGAAGGGGCUCUAGGUUUCAAACAACCCAGAUUUGAAGUGGAGCGUGGAGGUUGGUCAGAGAUCAAGAGAGAGGGUGGCGAUGGUGGACAUUGGGUUGCGAUGCUGGUAGAGUUCGGAUCUAGGGCGGGAAAUGGGGUUGUCACUUCCUGCUAGGAUUUCAAUCGAGAAUUUGGGUGAUGCUUUGUUUUAUUAGUUGUUGUUGAAGCAGCAGAGGAUAUGGGUAGAGCUAGAAGGUCCAACAACAAAAAAUUGAACAUGUUUGCAGAGAGAGAGCAUUGGAAUGGCUGAGCUGGGGACAGGGAGUUAUUGUUCUGGGUCAGUGAGAUGAGGGGUUGGUUGUGGUGAUUGGGUGUAUGGGUUUAGGAAGAAGAAAAGAACGAUAGCAUAUAGCAAGUAAGAGAAUCAUUGCAGCUCUUCUAAGUGGUCAAGUUGUCCUCGCAGAUCUUCCUGAUAGACUCAGACUACUGAGAAAGAAUAUUGAAGUCAAUCUGAGACAUGAAGAUAUGCAAGGUUCAGCAAAAGUGAUGGAAUUCAUAUGGGGAGAUGAUCCUGACCUGGAAUGACAGAACCUCCACCUGGUGUUGAUUCACUGCAAGGAGCUUGCAAGGGGUAGGGAAAGGGAACAAGGCAGGAAAAAAGAGAAGAAAUUACUGAGGGGAAGAUUGACCCAACCAAUUAAUGUGACGUGAAGUGUUCCUAAAGUGAAGAGUUGUGUCUCUCAGUUAUAUAUACAAAUUCGUACUCUUUUGAAGUCAAGUGUUGUGUCUAUAUAUCUCUUUUUUUUUUUUUUGGACAAUUCUAGAUCUCUUGGAAUUAAUUUAAGAGUUGUGUGUUGUUGUGUAGAAGUUUAAUUCUAGUUAUAAACAGCAAGUGUAAUGGGCUAUACUGUUGUAUCGAAGCUUAGACAAUAAGUUGUUAAUAUUGUUGAAUAAUAAACGGAGUUUCACA